UAGACGAACGCUGGCGGCGUGCUUAACACAUGCAAGUCGAACGAGACGAUUGAAAGCUUGCUUUGAAAGUCGAGUGGCAAACGGGUGAGUAACGCGUAGACAACCUGCCGCAAAGAUGGGGACAACAGUUCGAAGGGACUGCUAAUACCGAAUGUUGUCAAGUUUCCGCAUGGGAGCUUGAUUAAAGAUGGCCUCUACUUGUAAGCUAUCGCUUUGCGAUGGGUCUGCGUCUGAUUAGCUGGUUGGUGGGGUAACGGCCUACCAAGGCGACGAUCAGUAGCCGGUCUGAGAGGAUGAACGGCCACAUUGGAACUGAGACACGGUCCAGACUCCUACGGGAGGCAGCAGUAGGGAAUCUUCCGCAAUGGGCGAAAGCCUGACGGAGCAACGCCGCGUGAGUGAAGAAGGGUUUCGGCUCGUAAAGCUCUGUUGACGGGGACGAAUGUGCGAAAUGCGAAUAGUUUUUUGCAAUGACGGUACCCGUCGAGGAAGCCACGGCUAACUACGUGCCAGCCGCUGC
rnacentral:rRNA from 1 species